GAUGAACGCUGGCGGCGUGCUUAACACAUGCAAGUCGAACGAUGAAGCCCAGCUUGCUGGGUGGAUUAGUGGCGAACGGGUGAGUAACACGUGAGUAACCUGCCCUUAACUCUGGGAUAAGCCUGGGAAACUGGGUCUAAUACCGGAUAGGAGCGCCUACCGCAUGGUGGGUGUUGGAAAGAUUUAUCGGUUUUGGAUGGACUCGCGGCCUAUCAGCUUGUUGGUGAGGUAAUGGCUCCCCAAGGCGACGCCGGGUAGCCGGCCUGAGAGGGUGACCGGCCACACUGGGACUGAGACACGGCCCAGACUCCUACGGGAGGCAGCAGUGGGGAAUAUUGCACAAUGGGCGAAAGCCUGAUGCAGCGGCGCCGCGUGAGGGAUGACGGCCUUCGGGUUGUAAACCUCUUUCAGUAGGGAAGAAGCGAAAGUGACGGUACCUGCAGAAGAAGCACCGGCUAACUACGUG
rnacentral:rRNA from 1 species